AGAUUGGAUCUGUGACUAAGCCCUUUCUAAUUAAGAAACUGAGUCUUAAGUCAGUUUUAUUUAAAAAUCUAUUUCUAUCAGCUUUAUCUUGGUGUUAUAUAACAGUUAAAAUUUUAAAGUUUGUUUUUCAAUACUGGCAUAACUGACCUUUUGGUCUUAAAUAUAACUUGAAGGUCAAUACUAAAGUGGACAAAGAUCCAAUAUUUUUGCUCCUAUCUUAAGUCAACUAGGUCUCAGGAGUUUCAAAAUAUCCCAAAGCUUUGACAAAUCAUCUGUCUUCUUGAUCAGGGAGGCUAUGGAGCCCCAGAUGGUGAACUUUAUCCAGUGUACAAUUCUAUGAAGAGGAAAGUCAACACAGGGGGACAUGUCCCCUCCUCCAAAGGACACAGCAUGGACACUAAAUUUUAAAAGGAAAAACAAUAAAUCUGUGAAAUGCACCAUAAAGAGACUCAAGGAGCUAGAAACUCUAGCAGCUGCACCGUAGACUCAAGCCCGCAGCUAUGACAAGAGAGCAACUUGUGUGAGUCAGUCAUCUGCUUCCUCUCCACCAGCACAGCUGUGUCUGGAGGGAUGGUCCACACCUACUGAGGCGGAAACAAGCUGAGGACAUCCUGUUGCCAAGGGACCACGUGGCUUCUCCACACACAAGCAUCCCUGCGGCU